AGUGAACGCUGGCGGUAGGCCUAACACAUGCAAGUCGAACGGCAGCACAGUAAGAGCUUGCUCUUACGGGUGGCGAGUGGCGGACGGGUGAGGAAUACAUCGGAAUCUACUUUUUCGUGGGGGAUAACGUAGGGAAACUUACGCUAAUACCGCAUACGACCUACGGGUGAAAGCAGGGGAUCUUCGGACCUUGCGCGAUUGAAUGAGCCGAUGUCGGAUUAGCUAGUUGGCGGGGUAAAGGCCCACCAAGGCGACGAUCCGUAGCUGGUCUGAGAGGAUGAGCACCCACACGGGAAGGGAGACAGGGUCAAGACUCCUGGGGGGGGCAGGAGGGGGAAAUAUGGGAAAAGGGGCGAAAGCGUGACACAGCCAUACCGCGUGGGUGAAGAAGGCCUUGGGGUUGAAAAGCCCUUUUUUGGGAAAAAAAAAGCAGCAGGUUAAUACCCCGCUGUUCUGGGGGCACAAAAAGAAGAAGACCGGGAAAACUUCG
rnacentral:rRNA from 1 species